rnacentral:rRNA from 1 species
AGCGAACGUUAGCGGCGCGCCUAACACAUGCAAGUCGCACGGAGUAGCAAUACUCAGUGGCGCACGGGUGCGUAACACGUAGAUAACCUGCCCUUAAGAGGGGGAUAACGUUCCGAAAGGAGCGCUAAUACCGCAUAAUGCCAGUAAUGGAGAAAGGCUGGGACCAGCAAUGGCCAGUCGCUUUUGGAGGGGUCUGCGGCCCAUCAGCUAGUUGGUAAGGUAAUGGCUUACCAAGGCAAAGACGGGUAGCUGGUCUGAGAGGAUGAUCAGCCAAACUGGUACUGGAACACGGACCAGACUCCUACGGGAGGCAGCAGUGGGGAAUCUUGGUCAAUGGGCGCAAGCCUGAACCAGCGACGCCGCGUGAGUGAUGAAGGCCUUCGGGUUGUAAAGCUCUGUGGGGAGGGACGAAAGACUGAGGUCUAAUAGGCUUCAGGUUGACGGUACCUCCUUAGCAAGCACCGGCUAACUCUGUGCCAGCAGCCGCGGUAAAAC